rnacentral:piRNA from 1 species
GUUAAUGGUUUUCAAGGCUCAAGGCAGUC